GAUGAACGCUGGCGGCGUACCUAAUACAUGCAAGUCGAGCGAACGGACGAGAAGCUUGCUUCUCUGAUGUUAGCGGCGGACGGGUGAGUAACACGUGGAUAACCUACCUAUAAGACUGGGAUAACUUCGGGAAACCGGAGCUAAUACCGGAUAAUAUUUUGAACCGCAUGGUUCAAAAGUGAAAGACGGUCUUGCUGUCACUUAUAGAUGGAUCCGCGCUGCAUUAGCUAGUUGGUAAGGUAACGGCUUACCAAGGCAACGAUGCAUAGCCGACCUGAGAGGGUGAUCGGCCACACUGGAACUGAGACACGGUCCAGACUCCUACGGGAGGCAGCAGUAGGGAAUCUUCCGCAAUGGGCGAAAGCCUGACGGAGCAACGCCGCGUGAGUGAUGAAGGUCUUCGGAUCGUAAAACUCUGUUAUUAGGGAAGAACAUAUGUGUAAGUAACUGUGCACAUCUUGACGGUACCUAAUCAGAAAGCCACGGCUAACUACGU
rnacentral:rRNA from 1 species